rnacentral:rRNA from 1 species
GGUCCUACGGGUGGCUGCAGUGGGGAAUAUUGCACAAUGGGCGAAAGCCUGAUGCAGCGACGCCGCGUGGGGGAUGACGGCCUUCGGGUUGUAAACCUCUUUCACCAUCGACGAAGGUUCGGGUUUUCUCGGAUUGACGGUAGGUGGAGAAGAAGCACCGGCCAACUACGUGCCAGCAGCCGCGGUAAUACGUAGGGUGCGAGCGUUGUCCGGAAUUACUGGGCGUAAAGAGCUCGUAGGUGGUUUGUCGCGUUGUUCGUGAAAUCUCACGGCUUAACUGUGAGCGUGCGGGCGAUACGGGCAGACUUGAGUACUGCAGGGGAGACUGGAAUUCCUGGUGUAGCGGUGGAAUGCGCAGAUAUCAGGAGGAACACCGGUGGCGAAGGCGGGUCUCUGGGCAGUAACUGACGCUGAGGAGCGAAAGCGUGGGGAGCGAACAGGAUUAGAUACCCGGGUAGUCAG